GGGGGGCCGCUUGCAUUGUCUAUAUCCUUGGUGGGCAGACGCAACUGUGGAUUUUAUGAUUAGUGGGGGUUAUAAUGUUAGUACACAGAUACAACAGGUAAAGCAGAAGACACUUAUCAUAUGGGGUGAGGAUGACCAGAUCAUUAGUAACAAGCUUGCAGUGAGACUGCACUGUGAACUGCCAAAUGCAACUAUACGUCAAAUACCAGAUUGUGGUCAUCUUCCUCGUGUCGAAAGGCCCAAC